UUAUCUUUGAUUUGUUGGGUAUUUUUAGGAGUAAUUUCUCUAGUUCGAUUUUAGGGUUUUCUUAUCUGCAACGAAGGUUCCAUUUCAGAUUUUUUUUCUUAAUUAUUUAUCUGCAAGUGUCUUCGGGUUUCCAUUAUUUUUAUUAUUUUUUUUUAUAUUUCAUUACAUACAUGUGUAGAAGGUGAUUUUUUUCCUAGGGACAUGUAUUAUUCAGAAAAAUUUAACCAUGUAAAACUUUUUGUACCCUUUCCUUAUUCAGAUCUGUGUUUUCGGUCUCUCAAUUUAUACCAAUCAUGAUAUUUGAUUUCUUAAUCUCAACUAGCGUAAUUUACUCUUAUUAAAUUGGUAAAAAGAGUAUUGUAUUUUGUUUUUUUCCUGUAGAUUACCCUUAUUAAAUUGAUAUGUUAGAAGUCGGUUUGUUUAGCAAUUUGAUUAGUUGUAUGUAUUACUCUGAUGACAAAUCAGCAAAGAACCUGACAAUAUGAACUAAAUAUAAAUGUAUGUUACUUCCAAUACUUAAUUUGAUAAUGAUAUAUAUCUUUUUUUUGCUUUCUACAGAACAUCAAGAUCAUACCAUGGCUACAGCGAGCACAGUUGCUGCUAAAGAAACAAUAUACAAAAAUUCAAAAGGUAGAACCUUUAUUUAUAAACAUUGAUAUUUUACUUUGAUGGUCAAACAAGCUAUAUUCAAAAAAUAUUAUGUAAGUUUAUUCAUAUAGACAAUUCUACCUUCUAUUUUCACCAAGAACUAACCUCUUUGGAUUUUUUGAGAUCAAGAGUUACAUUACGACAAGGCUAUAAAACAACAAGUUUUACUGUUUUUCAUGGCCAUUUUUUAAAACAACAUGUUUCAAGACUAUAAAACAACAGGUUUUACUAUUUUCAUGGUCGUUUUUUAUUUAAUGUCUUAUUUAUAUGUCUAGGAUUUCUAUAAAAUGACUCUUUUGUCAUAUUGUUUGUCUGUGCAGUAACCCAAUAGUUCAGCAGAGCUAGAAGAAGAAAUGAUGGCCAAAAUCUCAAAAUUCAAGGUUUGUCCAGUUAACAAAAAUGUAAUAAUAAAAAAUACAUCCAUUUUAUUCAAUCUGUGACCCACAGUAAAAAGAAAUGAACUUUCUUUUUAUGAGUUGCUUUAAACAAAAUAAACUUCUUUUUUCUUUUGUGACCUGCUGUAAGUAGCAACAAACUUUCUAAAUUUCUUCUUUUGCUUAGUAUUUUGAACCCAUAUUGUUGGAAUCUAAAUUACAUAUAUAUGCUUGAAAAUUUUCAUAUUUGUACUUCUUCAUGGAGUAAAUUUUAUAUAAUAAGUGUAAUUAAUCUUUAAAAUAAUUACAACCAACGAAGUUAAGAUUUUAUAUUUUCAUUAUUUUUUUUAAAUUUGUGUUUUGCUACACUAACAAUGCAAGCUGAGAAACAUGCCCCUUCUGACAUGCAAUGCAAAGACACACUUCUCCUUCAGACUUCAGAGUGUAAUUGUAAUCCCAUGAGCAACACCUGAAACGCUAAGUAUGAGCAUAUAUCCAAUUUACCCUUUCAUGAAUUUCUUUGAUUAAUUGGUUAACAAAUGAGGUCUAAGACAAAGGGGGAAAGGAACUAAGGCCAUGGUUACGCAAUUGCUUUUAGUUUUGUUUCAUAUGAUUGUUUUUAGUGUCAAAAAAGGUUAAGAAUGUGGACUUUAUUGUUUACGUAACUUGAGAAGUGUUUAUGAUCAAUGAACUCAUGAAAAAUUGUUUAUGAUCAAUGAAGUUCAUCAAUUACAUAGAGACGAGUCAAGGUGACACAAGAUUCUAAUGAGAUCUUCCAUUUUUGAAAAUUUAAAAGAUCCUACUAUCUAACUUUUUUAAAAUAUUUUGUAUAGUUUUUUUUCUUCAGUUGGUUCACCAAGUUGAGCAAGUUAAUUUUGGUAUCCAUGACUUGGACAUGCAAGGAGUUUCAAGUUUGGUAUUGAAAAGCCUAUGCAAUAUAGGUCUUUAAUCUUGUCUUUUGUUUGAAAUUUAUGUACAUGUAGGUGUGAGUAAUCGCUUAUUAUGACAUGUGUCGCCUGUAGCAUGUACUAUUUUUUUUAUCCAUUCGUAUUACAUUUAUAUUCUUGGUUCUAGGUUCAUUAAAUAUAUUUUUAAAUGAGAUGAUGUGGAAGUUGAUUACGUUGGUGCUUUGCACUAUUCUUGUAACACUCUAAUUCAGGUAUUACCACAAAAGCCCUUGAAGUUAUUAACUAUUGCAUAUUAAGACCUUAAGUACGUUGGGUGUACUUCAUGAGUACGCUUAGUGUACCACGAAUAGAUUAUUGCAGAGGGCCAGCACGUGUGCUAGGUGUACCAAGAGUACGCGGGACGUACGUGACUGGUGUACAAACCCUAAUUUCCGGACUUGAGACCUAUAUAAGCAUCCUUAUCUCAUUUGAGCUCCACCCUAACCAACCUCAUUCACCUUCAAACGUCGCUAAAAACCCUAGAAUCAUUUGGGAGUGUGUUUUGAGCUUAAGGAGUGCAUUUGUGGCCAUUUUAGUGUCCAUUCAAGAAGGAGGAGUUCCUAAGCAAGCUUGGGGUGGUUUUGGGCUUCAAAAAUCUACAUCUAGUUCACCUUGAGGAGCUUCUGGAGGUAUAAAGCUUUGAUCUUGCCAUCUUAUUCAUUAGAUCUAGCUAGGGUUUUCUAUUUUGUCCCGUUGGUUGGUUUUGGACCUCCACUUGAGAGUUGAGCAACUCCAGAGGCUGAAAUGGUUAGAUCUGAAGUCCUUUGGUCCAUUAAUAGCAUAAAAAUGAAGUCUUGAUGGGUGUUUUGACAUCAUGCAUGGAUUAAGACCCUUGGAAAGGUCUUAAUGGGUUAUUGGGAACAUAUGGGACAUGCAAAGGCAUAAAGUUGCCAACUUUAUACCCUAGGACGUUUUAAUGAGCUCAGAUCUGAUUAUUAGACGUUAGGAAAUUGAGUAUUAAGCACGUAAUGGAAGAAAGUGCUUAAUCUGUUAGUACGCUAGGCGUAACUUAGCGUACGCAGCGUGUACGGCCAAGGGAACCAGUACGCUACGCGUAGCAGGGUGGUACGGAUGGCGUAUGCACAACAGAUGACUUGGACUUGUUUUGGGCUUGUAUGCUUUUGGGCCUUGAUUAGUCAUUGGGCCUGGUCAUGUUUUGGAUUGGUAGACCAACUUAUCUGUUUUGGGCCAAGGUUUCUAUGGUUGGGGUUUAUUGGGACAUGAAGCCCAUUAAUGAUUUUGGACAUGGACUUGGGCCCAUUAACUAAGGAAGACCUUUUGGGCCAUUGUGAAAGGACUUGGAGUUGGGUUUCUCAAUUGGAUUGUGUUUAGCCCUAACCUUAGGUAAAGUUAUCAUUAUUCAGCACGGGAGGUUACAGACAGUUAGGAGAGCAGCUUUCGAAUUCGUCGGACAGAGGUGGGUCUUCUCACCAUAUCAAUGGGUCUAAGGCACCAAGGCCGACCCAUUUAUUGCUAUACAUAUUGAUAGUUGGCUAUGUGAUAUGUCGCUAGGACAUUUGUAUGAAAGACCCUGGGAGGUUCCCGUGGCAGUAUAUUAAGACCAUGAGGAGGUUCCCAUGGCAUCUCGUAUAAGUCCUUGGAGGGUUUCCUUGGAUUCUUAGUAUGUUUAGUUGUUUAUCUCGUAUGAUAUUUU
rnacentral:lncRNA from 1 species